GCUGGGCAUGGUGGCAUGAGCCUGUAAUCCCAGCACUCAGGAGGCUGAGAUGGGAGAAUAACUUGAGCCCAUGUAUUUGAGAUCAUCUUGAUCUACAUAGCAAGACAUGUCUUAAAAAAAAAAAAAAGUUGUAGUAGAAAAAAUCCUAGUUAAGCCAGGCAUGGUAUCACAUGCCUGUAAUUCCAGUUACAUGGGAGGCUAAGGCGGGACAGUUUUAAAUUCAAGGCCAGUCUGGGCAACUUAGUGAGACCCUAUCUCAA
rnacentral:sRNA from 1 species